rnacentral:rRNA from 1 species
CCCGCUGAACUUAAGCAUAUCAAUAAGCGGAGGAAAAUCAUUACCUAGAGUUGUAGGCUUUGCCUACAUCUCUUACCCAUGUCUUUUGAGUACCUUCGUUUCCUCGGCGGGUCCGCCCGCAUUGGACAAACUUAAACUUUUGUAAUUGAAAUCACGUCUGAAAAAACAUAAUAGUUACAACUUUCACAAGGAUCUCUGGGUUCGGCAUCAUGAAAAACGCAGCAAAUGGAUAAGUAGUGUGAAUUGCAAAUUCGUGAAUAUCAAUCUUUGAACCACAUUGCCCCCUGGUAUUCUGGGGGCAUGCCUGUUCAAC